rnacentral:rRNA from 1 species
CACGUAGUUAGCCGGCGCUUCUUAUCCAGCUACCGUCAACCCACCCACAAAAGAGGCGGGCCUGCUUCACUGGCGAAAGAGGUUUACAACCCGAAGGCCUCCAUCCCUCACGCGGCGUCGCUGCAUCAGGCUUGCGCCCAUUGUGCAAUAUUCCCCACUGCUGCCUCCCGUAGGAGUCUGGGCCGUGUCUCAGUCCCAGUGUGACCGUCCACCCUCUCAGGCCGGCUACCCGUCACCGCCUUGGUAGGCCAUCACCCACCAACAAGCUGAUAGGCCGCGAGCCCAUCCCCCACCGAAGCAAUAUCUUUCCCACACCCACCAUGCAGCAGGCGCAGAAUAUCCCGUAUUAGCCACACUUUCAUGCGGUUAUCCAGAAGAAGGGGCAGGUUACUCACGUGUUACUCACCCGUUCGCCACUCAUCCAGAACCAGCAAAAACCGGUCCCUUCACCGUUCGACUUGCAUGUGUUAAGCACGCCGCAGCGUCGUCUGAGCCAGAC